AUUCCAUACUUCCAAGAAAAACUUCUAGUUAGUUUUAUUAGUGCCCGUACCCCAAACCGACACAGGUGGACAAGUAGAGAAUACUAAGGCGAGCGAGAGAACUCUGGUUAAGGAACUCGGCAAAAUAGUUCCGUAACUUCGGGAGAAGGAACGCCCAAGUAAAGUGAUUAAUUAACUUUAUAAGCUUGAACGGGCCGCAGUGAUCAGACUCAAGCGACUGUUUAUCAAAAACACAGGAGGGUGCAAAGUUCUAAUACAACGUAUACCCUCUGACACCUGCCCGGUGCUGGAAGGUUAAGUGGAGAGGUUAGCUUCGGCGAAGCUUUGAAAUUAAGCCCCAGUAAACGGCGGCCGUAACUAUAACGGUCCUAAGGUAGCGAAAUUCCUUGUCGGGUAAGUUCCGACCUGCACGAAUGGUGUAACGAUUUGAGUACUGUCUCAACCAGAGACUCGGCGAAAUUGCAAUGUGAGUAAAGAUGCUCACUAUGCGCGACAGGACGGAAAGACCCCGGAACCUUUACUGCAACUUGAUAUUGAAUGUUGGUGUGCAGUAUGCAGGAUAAGUGGGAGACUUUGAAACAAUCACGCUAGUGGUUGUGGAGUCAUCCUUGAGAUACCACUUUCUUCAUAUUGACCUUCUAACCUAGAUCCGUUAUCCGGAUCAGGGACAUUGUCUGGUAGGCAGUUUCACUGGGGCGGUGGCCUCCUAAAAAGUAACGGAGGCGCUCAAAGGUCACCUCAGCGUGGACGGCAAUCACGCAUUGAGUGUAAGUGCAAAAGGUGGCUUGACUGUGACACAAACAAGUGAAGCAGGUACGAAAGUAGGAACUAGUGAUCCCAUGGUUGCAUGUGGGUGCGCCAUGGCUCAUCGGCUAAAAGGUACUCCGGGGAUAACAGGCUUAUACCCCCCAAGAGUCCAUAUCGACGGGGGUGUUUGGCACCUCGAUGUCGGCUCUUCUCAUCCUGGGGCUGGAGCAGGUCCCAAGGGUUAGGCUGUUCGCCUAUUAAAGAGGAACGCGAGCUGGGUUCAGAACGUCGUGAGACAGUUCGGUCCCUAUCCG
rnacentral:rRNA from 1 species